rnacentral:lncRNA from 1 species
GCAAAUCAAGUCAAAAUAAACUAUGUGUUUCGGUGUUAUCAAACCACACAAAUUUAUUCUUGCUGAGGAUUUUUCUUUUGAUUCCUCUUUUGUUGCUUCAUUUUUUGAUUUCCCUUAUUUUUGUUGGACUAUUUGAAAUUUGCAAUCCAUAGGGAUGCCCUAACUUUUUCCUAAGUCACUCGUUUUCGAGUUUUCGACUUAGUGGGCUUUCUUUCUCUUUUGGAUU